AUGAUGCAACCGGAAGGUUUUGUCGAUCCAAAGGGAGCUAACAAAGUGUGCAAGCUCCAGCGAUCCAUUUAUGGACUGGUGCAAGCCUCUCGAAGUUGGAAUAAAUGCUUUGAUAGUGUGAUCAAAGCAUUUGGUUUUAUAAAGACUUUUGGAGAAGCCUGCAUUUACAAGAAAGUGAGUGGGUGCUCUGUAGCAUUUCUGAUAUUAUAUGUGGAUGACAUAUUGCUGAUUGGAAAUGAUAUAGAAUUUCUGGAUAGCAUAAAGGGAUACUUGAAUAAUAGUUUUUCAAUGAAAGACCUCGGUGAAGCUACUUAUAUAUUGGGCAUUAAGAUCUAUAGAGAUAGAUCAAGACACUUAUUUAGACUUUCACAAAGCACAUACCUUGACAAAGUUUCGAAGAAGUUCAAAAUGGAUCAAGCAAAGAAAGGGUUCUUGCCUGUGUUACAAGGUGUGAAGUUGAGUAAGACUCAAUGCCCGACCACUGCAGAAGAUAGAGAGAAAAUGAAAGAUGUUCCCCAUGCUUCAGCCAUAGGCUCUAUCAUGUAUGCAAUGCUGUGUACUAGACCUGAUGUGUGCCUUGCUAUAAGUCUAGCAGGGAGGUACCAAAGUAAUCCAGGAGUGGAUCACUGUACAGCGGUCAAGAACAUCCUGAAGUACCUGAAAAGGACUAAGGAUAUGUUUCUCGUUUAUGGAGGUGACAAAGAACUCAUCGUAAAUGGUUACGUUGAUGCAAGCUUUGACACUGGUCCGGACGAUUCUAAAUCGCAAACCGGAUAUGUGUUUACAUUGAACGGUGGAGCCGUCAGUUGGUACAGUUCUAAACAAAGCGUCGUGGCGGGAUCUACAUGUGAAGCGGAGUACAUAGCUGCUUCGGAAGCAGCAAAUGAAGGAGUCUAG
rnacentral:rRNA from 1 species